UAGUUCUUCGAAACACGAUAA
rnacentral:piRNA from 1 species